ACAGAAACACGGCAAUGGAAGGAUGGAAACAGGUGCUUGAUUCCAUCGGCCUUGCAGGCAUGGUCAGCCCACUUCAGGCCCGCAAGAAGUGGGAUAACCUCAAAUCAAAGUGUAAGGAGCUGAAGUGCCCACCCACAGGCACUGGGACAGACAAUGGGGAGGAUACGGCUGCCUCGUGGCCAUGGUACUCUGCCAUGGAUGAGCUGCUUGGUCAGAGGCACUCCAUCGCACCACCCGUGCUGCGUGCCUCUUUGCCCUGCAGCUCAUCCAUGGCAGAGCCCAACUCUAUGGGUGCCGUGUCCUCCCCACAGAGAAGUGUGUCCUCCCCACCACCGAGAGAGGAGAGCCAGGAACCACCGAGGAAGAGGAGGUACAACAUGGCUUUCGUGGGGGAGAUGAUGGAGAGGGCGGAGGCCUCUGAAAUGGAAAGGCAGCGGAGAGAGAUGGAGCGGCAGGAGAGGGCCGAACUCAGAAUGGAUAGGCUUCUGGCUGUUAUGGAGCGGUUGGCCGAAAAAUAAAAAACAAUAACAAUUACAAUACCAUUUACAGCUUUGUGUUUUUUUUUUUUUUAAGUACAUGUAAAUGAUGAGACAACAACAGAGUUCAGUUAAGUUAAAAUAAGUGUAUUUUAUUGGAAAGCUCCCCAAGCAAGCACAAGGGCAACAGUGACGAGGGAAAACUCCCAUGUAGGAAGAAACCUCGGGAGGGCCCAGGCUCAGGGAGCGACCACCCUCCUUGGUCAUUUCUGUGUG
ensembl:lncRNA